GAUAGCCAAAGAUGACGGCAGGAUUGAGGGUAGGGUUAGUGAUGACGCGAACGUCGCCACCGCCAGGUGCCCAGGUGUCGUAUACGCCGCCAAAGAACAUGGCUUUGAACACUAACAGUAGGGCACCGAAACCGAGAAGGAUAAGGUGAUAGCCAAUAAUAUUGGUCAUUUGGUUCUUAUCCUUCCA
rnacentral:antisense_RNA from 1 species